rnacentral:tRNA from 1 species
GUAUGUAACCCAGUGGUAGAGUGCUUGCUUGGCAUGCAUGAGGUCCUGGGUUCAAUUCUCAGCACUGCG